AUGUGCUUCUGUCACAAAUACACCUCACUCAUGAGCACCGGAGCUUGGCAGAUGAGACACGCAGGGCAUGCUGGUAGAAGAUGUAAAAUAGGAAGGAAAAAGAGUGAGGGGAGUAGGAGGCGGGGUCUUCACCAUAGGGCUCCUCCCACCGGAGCCCGCCGGUCCUUCGGUCCUUGGAGGAACCGGAUGAUUGACUGUUCCCAGAGCCGGGAGCGGGGGACAGAGUGUGUGCACCGCUGGCCCAUCCACAGCUGCACCGAAACUCCCACCCCCGUAUCGCAGAGAGAGACAGGGUUACGGCCAAGGAAGCGGGAACCAGACGGCUCAAGUCGGCCACGCCCCUCCCUCACCGUCAGGGCUUCGAGCCGCGCAGACAGGGUCACUGCACAAUUUCAGAUCCAAACGCCACCGCAGGAGGAGCUCCGAGAAGUCCAAGGUGAAGGAAAAGGCGCCCCCUUUCCCGGCGCUCUCGGCUUUGUCCUCCACACGCUUCCCACUCGAGGGAGAAGCUAAUGACAUUGACCCCGGCCUUAUCCCGCCGGCGGGGGGCGCACAGCUGCGGGGGGCGGUACCUGGGGCCCCCGCGGGGUGACCCCAGCCCAGCGCGGCCGACCGCACCUCGGGGCGGCGCGGGCGCCCGACCUGGACACUUCGGACCUUUCUUCCUCCUCCGCUCGCAGCCAAUGGGUAGGCUCGCUCCGCCGGCUGCCAUGGCAACGGGAAGACGGCUCCGGUGCCCAGAACAGAUGUCACAUGGGCCGCCAAGGCAGUGGUGGGGGUGGGGAGCGCGGCGGGGGCGCCGGGGGAGGGCGGCGCCCCGGGGUUAAACGGCCCCACCAGAGGGAGUACGGCGCAUUUUGAAGUGAGUGCUGAGCGGUAACAUCUAUUUUCUUUCUUUUCCCUGUCCUUUAAGCUCUAAACACACAUGCACAAACACAAAUGUCCUUUCAUCUCCGCUGCCGAGGUACGUGAGGCUCUGCGGCUUUCCUGGCCAACAUGAAAGCUCUGAUCUCUCCGAGCCGUAAAUGAACAUCGCCUCCGCCGCAGAAACGCGAGCAGGCGCUCUGCGGCCAUUUAGGACCGGGCCCGGGAGCGCCGUCUGGGUGAAUCGGAGAAGCCCAGAACCACGCGGAGCCCAGACUAAUCAAGGGGAAUUUGAAAGGCAAACCGCACUGCCUCUGUAGGCAACAACAAACCCGGUUCAGGCUCUUGCCACUAACAUGAAAGGGCUCCUGGGUCCCCGCCUCCUCUCGGUGGUUUCUCUGAUCAUAUCAUUCCCAAGGCCAUUUUAUAUAGACUAAACCAGGGCAAGCCUUAUAAAUUUACCUGCUUGAACAACAAAGACCCUUUGUCGUCUCUAAAAUAGAUCCCACCCCAGCUGCAAUGCUGCAUUUAAAAUGUUUCCACGGCUUUCCAUUUCUCUUCUGCUGAAACUAACGAUUAUGUGUGUGUGUGUGUGUGUGUGUGUGUGUAUAAUAAACCUAUAUAUGAGCUGAUAAGAUAAGAGGUGGUAUUAAUGGCAGGCAGACCCUGGGCACUGUGGCUUUUUUUCCUUCCUGCUUGAAGCCACCGGAAGGACCUGAACAGGAAGGUCCUGUUACCCAUCCAGGCGACCCUGGGAGACAAGGGGAGACCCAUGUCCUAGUUUGAUGAGUGAGGUGCACUGCUUGUGUUGGGGGAUGGGAAGAGGAAUACAGUUAUCCUCUGCAUGGGUUUGGUUCAUGGGACAAACAUUCCCAGAGGGUCUGCUUUGUGCCAAGCACCACAGCAAGUGUGGUGAAAGAUGUAAUGCAGGGAAGAUGUAUUCACCAAGGAGAAGUCUAGAAACUUACAGUGACUGAUGGAGUGAGUUUUGGAAGAAAAGCAUGAUGGGAAUGUGGAGGGAGUGGGCUCUGAGAAAUGUCCUGGGGUAUGGGGAGAUGUGGACUGAGCACUAGGUGUGUUACACACAUAGCGUGUCACAUCAUCUAACACCCUGAGAGGCAAUCACUGUUAGCCUACUCAAAAAAUCGGAGAAGCCAGAUUUAGAUGGGUCAUUACAGCAAGCAAGGCCAUGGCCACUUUGCUCAAAUCAUCCUGGCACCUCCACUGGGGUCUGCCCAUCUCCGGACCAGCAGAAGGUGCAUCCCUGCAAAGAACGUGUGGGUGCCAGCAGAGUGUGUGGGUGCUGUUUCUUGUCUUUACCUAACAGAAAUGUUUGGGGAAUGCUGACUUUCAGACACUCCCUGCAGUUUUUCUAAUACUUAUUAAGAUGAACACAUAACAAUGAAAAUGGAAUAGCUUCCUCUGAAUCCACCCUGAAACCAUUUUGUGUACCACACAGGGUCUGUGUGUCACUUAGGAGCCGGUGGAAACCGCCCCCCCCCAUGCUGCCCCUGAAAGAAGAGCAGGAAUGUGGCCCACAGAGAAUUUGAAUUUGUUCCCAAACCGCUCUAUGCUGGCUACGGGUAUUCUGUGUCUGUGCCUUCACUGAAAUCAAAAUGUCUCCUUAGCAUUCACAAGAACGCUUUCUUCUAUCACCCGUCUGGCCAGUAAGCAGAACCCUAGGGUGCUGCGAUAAACCUGAAUGGAAAGCAGUGAAUGCAAACAGGAGGCUGAUUGCCCAGUCAUGCUCCUGUCUGCCUUGCUCCUAGAAGCUGCCACUGCAGGCCCAGAGCCCCCACCCCCAAGGGCUUCGCUGACACUGCCAUGAAGCUUUGCUACCACCAGAGGGCAGUAACACAAACAAGAUUUUUCACUUGUGACCCCAACGUGGAUGCACAGUUGAAUAUGUAAAGCCUGUUAUUACAAGCUUUUCCUUUCC
rnacentral:lncRNA from 1 species